UGCCUUGUUUCAUGUUGUCACCACUGU
rnacentral:piRNA from 1 species